rnacentral:rRNA from 1 species
CGGGAGGGGCUGUGUUUAUUAGAUACAAAACCAACCCACUUUGUGGAGUCCUGGUGAUUCAUAGUAACCGAACGGAUCGCAGUUGGCUUCGGCCCGCGAUGGAUCUUUCAAGUUUCUGACCUAUCAGCUUUCGACGGUAGGGUAUUGGCCUACCGUGGCAGUGACGGGUAACGGGGAAUUAGGGUUCGAUUCCGGAGAGGGAGCCUGAGAAACGGCUACCACAUCUAAGGAAGGCAGCAGGCGCGCAAAUUACCCAAUGAAAACAGUUUCGAGGUAGUGACGAGAAAUAACAAUACAGGGCAUUUUAUGCUCUGUAAUUGGAAUGAUGGGAAUGUAAAACCCUUCCAGAGUAACAAUUGGAGGGCAAGUCUGGUGCCAGCAGCCGCGGUAAUUCCAGCUCCAAUAGUGUAUAUUAGAGUUGUUGCAGUUAAAAAGCUCGUAGUUGGAUUUCUGUCGUGGUCAUCCGGCUCCGCCCGUAUGGGUGUGCGCCUGGUUUGCCCUCGGCUUUCUUCCGGUAGCCUUCCGCGCUUCACUGCGUGUGUUGGUGUUCCGGAACUUUUACUUUGA